rnacentral:rRNA from 1 species
UCAGUGGCGAACGGGUGAGUAACACGUGAGCAAUCUGCCCCGAACUCUGGGAUAAGCGUUGGAAACGACGUCUAAUACCGGAUACGAGCUUCAGCCGCAUGGCUAGGAGUUGGAAAGAAUUUUGGUUCGGGAUGAGCUCGCGGCCUAUCAGGUUGUUGGUGAGGUAAUGGCUCACCAAGCCUACGACGGGUAGCCGGCCUGAGAGGGUGACCGGCCACACUGGGACUGAGACACGGCCCAGACUCCUACGGGAGGCAGCAGUGGGGAAUAUUGCACAAUGGGCGCAAGCCUGAUGCAGCAACGCCGCGUGAGGGACGACGGCCUUCGGGUUGUAAACCUCUUUUAGCAGGGAAGAAGCGAGAGUGACGGUACCUGCAGAAAAAGCACCGGCUAACUACGUGCCAGCAGCCGCGGUAAUACGUAGGGUGCAAGCGUUAUCCGGAAUUAUUGGGCGUAAAGAGCUCGUAGGCGGUUGGUCGCGUCUGCUGUGAAAUCCCGAGGCUCAACCUCGGGUCUGCAGUGGGUACGGGCCAGCUAGAGUGCGGUAGGGGAGAAUGGAAUUCCUGGUGUAGCGGUGGAAUGCGCAGAUAUCAGGAGGAACACCGAUGGCGAAGGCAGUUCUCUGGGCCGUUACUGACGCUGAGGAGCGAAAGCGUGGGGAGCGAACAGGAUUAGAUACCCUGGUAGUCCACGCCGUAAACGUUGGGCGCUAGAUGUGGGGACCAUUCCACGGUUUCCGUGUCGCAGCUAACGCA